AAUAGAUACCCCGGUAGUCCACGCCGUAAACGAUGAUCACUCGAUGUUGGAGGAUUCGACCCCUUCAGUGUCUAAGCUAACGCGAUAAGUGAUCCGCCUGGGUAGUACGAUCGCAAGAAUUAAAACUCAAAGGAAUAGACGGGGACCCGCACAAGCGGUGGAGCAUCUGGUUUAAUUCGACAAUAAACGAUGAACCUCGCCAAGGCUUGACAUCUCGAGAAGAUUGCCGAAAGGCGAUUGUGCCGCAAGGAACUCGAUGACAGGUGCUGCAUGGUUGUCGUCAGCUCGUGCCUUGAGGUGUUCGGUUAAGUCCGUAAACGAGCGCAACCCAUGUCCUAUGUUGUAUUUUUCAUAGGAGACUGCCGGCUCUAAGUCGGAGGAAGGUAUGGAUGACGUCAAAUCAGCAUGGCCCUUAUGCCUUGGGCCACACAGGUGCUACAAGUGGGAGGUACAAAAGGUAGCUAUAUAGUAAUAUGGAGCCAAUCCCCAAAACCUCUCUAAGUUCGGAUUGAGGGCUGCAAUUCCG
rnacentral:rRNA from 1 species